UAACAUAAAAAGAAACAUACUGGAAAACACCUAAGUAUGAAAAAUUCCUCAAAUUCAGGGUGUGUUCAUACAAAGUGAAAUUUCUACAGUGUGGAAAUCAUUAAACCUGAUUCAGAAAAAAUGUGAGGUGCCCCAGCCAUUGAGAUGUGAAUCUCUUUAAUCCACACAAGCAUUAGAAAAAUCUGAAACAUGUGAAAGUUCAAAAGCUGCAAAGCCAUUACAUGACUUCUUAUUCAUUUCUCAAAUAUUGUAACUUUCUAUUGAACUGUGAAAAGGCUUUUUCUUGUAUUUUUUUUUCUUUUCAUAAGCAAUAGAUCAGUCAGUCACUAAUGUUACUGCACAUUGUGAAGCUGAAGGUGAGUUUUACUUGGUUAUAUCUGCUUGGAUUUAAUUUCUUGAUUUAUUUUAAAGCAUUUAUGUAGCAUUUCAAUAGUUGGUAACUUGCACCUUUUCAGCAGUUGCUCUUAGGGAGGGGGAAAUGGCAAGACCUGAUACAAUUUUUAACUUUUUUUUAAGUUCCCAACCGAUUUCACAGUAAGUUUAGAAGUAAUUUUAAUGACUAGCUCUAACUUUGCAUGAGGGCUUUUUAACUGUACGUGUGCUACUUAAAAAAAGACAACUAAAAAACUAAUAAAACCAAAACUACACAAAAUACCUUUUUUUCAGCUUAACUUCACAGCUCUGAAGUACACCAAGAGGACCUUUCAGAUCUGGUGAAAACUUGCUACAGAGAAAACAGAAGGAUCCAGUCUGUUGUUGCCUUUCUCCUUGCACACCGCCUUGCUGAACUCUAUCCUUCUUGGUACUUCUCACACCAGUCCUCUCCAACUGCUCCAGGCAGUGAGCCAACUGACUGCUUCGUAAUCACACUGUCUGCCUCCUUGAGUCAUGGAGAUAUGUCAUCUUUUGUAUUACUGCUCUGUGGAUGAAUCCUUAUCCUGUCCUAAUGAGGCUAUUAAAGACGAGGCAUAGCAUGGAUUCAGCAACAGGACACCACGAAGCAGCUUGGAUGGACUUUGAGUGGGUACUCCAAAAUCAGCAACACUCUAAAAGAUGGUGGUCCCAACUGGUCUGGUCUCUAUUUUUUGCUGAAACCUGCGACCUGGUUAGCUGAUAGAAGGCAAUUGGGGAUGGAAAGAACAAAACUUUCCUUGUUUCUGUUUUCAAAUAAGACAGUAAAUACAACUGCAGAUCUUUGGCCUGUGCCACAUGUCAAAUAAGGAUAAGAACCCUCUACAUG